rnacentral:rRNA from 1 species
GAUCCUGGCUCAGGAUGAACGCUAGCUACAGGCUUAACACAUGCAAGUCGAGGGGAAACGACAUCGAAAGCUUGCUUUUGAUGGGCGUCGACCGGCGCACGGGUGAGUAACGCGUAUCCAACCUGCCCACCACUUGGGGAUAACCUUGCGAAAGUAAGACUAAUACCCAAUGACGUCUCUAGAAGACAUCUGAAAGAGAUUAAAGAUUUAUCGGUGAUGGAUGGGGAUGCGUCUGAUUAGCUUGUUGGCGGGGUAACGGCCCACCAAGGCAACGAUCAGUAGGGGUUCUGAGAGGAAGGUCCCCCACAUUGGAACUGAGACACGGUCCAAACUCCUACGGGAGGCAGCAGUGAGGAAUAUUGGUCAAUGGGCGAGAGCCUGAACCAGCCAAGUAGCGUGCAGGAUGACGGCCCUAUGGGUUGUAAACUGCUUUUAUAAGGGAAUAAAGUUAGUCUCGUGAGACUUUUUGCAUGUACCUUAUGAAUAAGGACCGGCUAAUUCCGUG